rnacentral:rRNA from 1 species
CUACGGGUGGCUGCAGUGAGGAAUCUUGCGCAAUGGGGGAAACCCUGACGCAGCGACGCCGCGUGGGUGAUGAAGGCCUUCGGGUCGUAAAGCCCUGUCGAGAGGGAAGAAUUGCAUUUAGGUUAAUAGCCUAAUUGUUUGACGGUACCUCCAAAGGAAGCACCGGCUAACUCCGUGCCAGCAGCCGCGGUAAUACGGAGGGUGCAAGCGUUGUUCGGAAUCACUGGGCGUAAAGGGCGUGUAGGCGGCUGAGUAAGUCAGGUGUGAAAUCCCUCGGCUCAACCGAGGAAGUGCAUUUGAUACUGCUCAGCUUGAGUACUGGAGAGGGAGAUGGAAUUCCCGGUGUAGAGGUGAAAUUCGUAGAUAUCGGGAGGAACACCAGUGGCGAAGGCGAUCUCCUGGACAGAUACUGACGCUAAGGCGCGAAAGCGUGGGGAGCAAACAGGAUUAGAUACCCCUGUAGUC